UCAAUAUCUUUAUUUCUCCAUUACAGCAAAUUUCAUAUCAACACCUCAGUCAGUGUGGUCUUACGAUAARGAAAGGAAAGAAAAUCAAGACAUGCUCAGAACAGUGUUAGCCUGGAAAAACUGCUUAGAGUUGCAGGAGCCUCAUCCAGGAAAGGACAACAUGGCUAAAUAUGCAGAAGGUGUCACUUGCUGAAGAAUGCUUCGUGAAGAGAGACAGAAACAUGCUUCCAGAGCUGUUUGAAUGCGUCGUUUGGCACUACCACGUUUGCCACCACUUGGACUAGAGCGAUGUUACAGGCUGUUUGCAUUUUAUAGUCAAGUUUACUGUUAUCAACCAACACAAGCUUUUGUUUAUUAUUUAUUCUUUGAGAGGGGAUAAUACCAGUAGAUUUGAUAACAGACUAAGGAUUUAAAGAGCUCUUCCCUGUGGUCCUGUUCAGCCCAUGAAACAGCAGAGUCCCAGGUAGUACGGCUCAACCUGCUGAUUUCUGCCCGUGAUUAGGAGGGGAGGUGAGUCACAAGUGAGAGAGGUAGUUUAGGAAGCUACUCUGAAUGGUCCUUCUCUGUAGCUGGUUGUUGUCAUUCACCUGUUUCUGCAGCCCUUUCUUAUGAAGGGCAAUACUUGUAAACUAAAACUUAAGUAAUUGACCACAGUAGGUACGGGUAUUUCUCUACAAUUGCUAGUAAAGAGGCUGAAGGACUGACUGACAUCACCUUUCUAAACGUGUGCUUCUAGUCCCUUCAACAACACUGCGAACAGUGUGCAGUCUCAGCAUUUAUAUAUGUUCA